AGUGAACGCUGGCGGUAGGCCUAACACAUGCAAGUCGAACGGCAGCACAGUAAGAGCUUGCUCUUACGGGUGGAGAGUGGCGGACGGGUGAGGAAUACAUCGGAAUCUACUUUUUCGUGGGGGAUAACGUAGGGAAACUUACGCUAAUACCGCAUACGACCUAUGGGUGAAAGCAGGGGAUCUUCGGACCUUGCGCGAUUGAAUGAGCCGAUGUCGGAUUAGCUAGUUGGCGGGGUAAAGGCCCACCAAGGCGACGAUCCGUAGCUGGUCUGAGAGGAUGAUCAGCCACACUGGAACUGAGACACGGUCCAGACUCCUACGGGAGGCAGCAGUGGGGAAUAUUGGACAAUGGGCGCAAGCCUGAUCCAGCCAUACCGCGUGGGUGAAGAAGGCCUUCGGGUUGUAAAGCCCUUUUGUUGGGAAAGAAAAGCAGCAGGUUAAUACCCCGCUGUUCUGACGGUACCCAAAGAAUAAGCACCGGCUAACUUCGUG
rnacentral:rRNA from 1 species